CGCCGGGUGUCCCGAGGCCAGCAAAGCGCCGGUCCCGGCUGGAGCCCCGCGGAGCCCCGGGCACUCGGCGCUGCCCCAGAGACGGUGUCAGUGUGCUGCAAAGAGCCCAGGAUGAAGUCAUUCUUCUUGCCAGCCUGGAAAAAAACUCAGAAGGUGUCUGGAGACCUGCAGAGAUCCUUUCCCACCUGAAUUAUUUCACAGUCUCAAGAAACACCCAGCUCUUUCGAUGCAACCCUACUAAGAGCUUCU